UCCCUGUUGACUCAGGUGGUAAAGAAUCUGCCUGUAAUGCAGGAGACCCAGGUUCCAUCCCUGGUUAAGGAA
rfam:Ovis aries breed Texel chromosome 6, whole genome shotgun sequence.